AUGUCGGCGGUGGACGCCAUCCUCGCGGAGGCGGCCGACCUGGUCGCGCUGGAGCAGAUCGCCAGGCUCAACACCGCGCACCUAGCCGGCCUCGACGACUCGGCGCUCCCG
rnacentral:rRNA from 1 species